GCAGGCAGGCAGGCAGGCAGCCUGCCGCGAGUCCUGUCGAAGCAUGCACAGAGCACACCUCUACCCGCACCCACCACCAGGACCCCUCGCCAUCACCUCCUUGAACCGGGAGGAUCCAGAGCCUGGACCGGGGUUCCCAGGGGCACUCUGCUCACCGUGAUCUGGGAAAACAGUUGGCAGAGGCAGUCCAGGUAGCUUUUGCGUGUUUCCUAAGUGGUGACAGGGGGGCAAAAGUGGAGGAAGCAGAGAUAGUGUAAAGAAGCCAGUGAAGAAGCCAACUAGUGGAGCCAGCAGCCCUCCGCUAAAGUAGAAUAACUGUCAGCCUAUGGUCUGUAUUCACAUCCCAAGCUAAGAGACAGUGGGGAGAGACAGGUUUGCCCUGACUACAUCCUCAGGUCAGGCACAUCUUCAGGUGCAACCAGAUGGCUCUUAUUUGGUGCAAGGCUGAGGUUAUAAAGCUUUUAAGGUAUGUGCAUGCAUAUGCAAAGCACAGGCAGAGGCAGGAAGAGGGAUUAAGCUUUUGGGGGCCUGGGGGAUGGGUUGGUUUUUCUGAGACAGGGUUUCUCUGUAUAGUCCUGGCUGUCCUGGUACUCACUCUUUAGACCAGGCUGGCCUUGAACUCACAAAGAUCCGUGUGAGUGCUGGGAUUGAAGGUGUGCACCACAGCUGCCCAGCAAAAAGAAUAUUUCAUGCAUAUGACUAUUUUGACUUGCUUUGGCCAAUAGAAAUGCAGAAGUAAAAGUGUGUUCCUUAGUCCAGAUCUUGGGAGACGUCAUACACAUGUGCUUGCUCUCUUGGAAUAGACAUUCCAUGAAUGGCUUACAGAGGCUCAGGGCUGCCCUUCCACCAGCUGAUGGUGAUUGUACUAGCCAGCUGUCCAGACACUUGAAUUGGCCCAGCACAGAUCAGACAGACCUAUUCCCCAUCCCCCGUCCCCACAGACCCAUGACCAAUAACAAGGGCUUUUUGUUUUAAACUAGAAUUUAGAUUGAUUUGUUAUGUAACUCACAGCUAACUGAUACAUUUGGUCUACCUGCUUGUGGUUCCUGC
ensembl:processed_transcript